GGGGCAACUCUUAUUUUAGUGGCGGACGGGUGCGGAAUGCGUAGGAAUCUACCUUAAAGUGGGGGAUAACUUGGGGAAACUCAAGCUAAUACCGCAUAUGCUCUACGGAGUAAAGGGGUCCGGGCCUCGCGCAGUUGGAUGAGCCUACGUCGGAUUAGCUUGUUGGUAGGGUAAAGGCCUACCAAGGCGACGAUCCGUAGCUGGUCUGAGAGGAUGAUCAGCCACACUGGGACUGAGAUACGGCCCAGACUCCUACGGGAGGCAGCAGUGGGGAAUAUUGGACAAUGGGCGCAAGCCUGAUCCAGCAAUGCCGCGUGUGUGAAGAAGGCCUUCGGGUUGUAAAGCACUUUCAGUGGGGAAGAAAUGCUCAGGGUUAAUACCCCUGAGAGUUGACGUUACCCAAAGAAGAAGCACCGGCUAACUCCGUGCCAGCAGCCGCGGUAAUACGGAGGGUGCGAGCGUUAAUCGGAAUUACUGGGCGUAAAGAGCACGUAGGUGGAUAUUUAAGUCGGAUGUGAAAGCCCUGGGCUCAACCUGGGAACUGCAUUCGAUACUGCCUGACUAGAGUGUGGUAGAGGGAAGUGGAAUUCCCAGUGUAGAGGUGAAAUUCGUAGAUAUUGGGAAGAACACCAGUGGCGAAGGCGGCUUCCUGGACCAACACUGACACUGAGGUGCGAAAGCGUGGGGAGCGAACAGGAUUAGAUACCCUGGUAGUCCACGCCGUAAACGAUGAGAACUAGAUGUUGGGGGGCAUGUCCCUUUAGUGUCGAAGCUAACGCGUUAAGUUCUCCGCCUGGGGAGUACGGCCGCAAGGUUAAAACUCAAAUGAAUUGACGGGGGCCCGCACAAGCGGUGGAGCAUGUGGUUUAAUUCGAACCAACGCGAAGAACCUUACCUAGGCUUGACAUCCUCGGAACUUGUCAGAAAUGACUUGGUGCCUUCGGGAGCCGAGUGACAGGUGCUGCAUGGCUGUCGUCAGCUCGUGUCGUGAGAUGUUGGGUUAAGUCCCGUAACGAGCGCAACCCUUGUCCUUAGUUGCCAGCACGUAAUGGUGGGAACUCUAGGAGACUGCCGGUGAUAAACCGGAGGAAGGUGGGGACGAGGUCAAGUCAUCAUGGCCCUUACGGGUAGGGCUACACACGUGCUACAAUGGGCAGUACAAAGGGUUGCGAAGCCGCGAGGUGGAGCCAAUCCCACAAAGCUGCUCUCAGUCCGGAUUGGAGUCUGCAACUCGACUCCAUGAAGUCGGAAUCGCUAGUAAUCGUGAAUCAGAAUGU
rnacentral:rRNA from 1 species